CCUACGGGGGGCAGCAGUCGAGAAUCAUUCACAAUGGGGGAAACCCUGAUGGUGCAACGCCGCGUGGGGGAAUGAAGGUCUUCGGAUUGUAAACCCCUGUCAUGUGGGAGCAAAUUAAAAAGAUAGUACCACAAGAGGAAGAGACGGCUAACUCUGUGCCAGCAGCCGCGGUAAUACAGAGGUCUCAAGCGUUGUUCGGAAUCACUGGGCGUAAAGCGUGCGUAGGCUGUUUCGUAAGUCGUGUGUGAAGGGCGCGGGCUCAACCCGCGGACGGCACAUGAUACUGCGAGACUAGAGUAAUGGAGGGGGAACCGGAAUUCUCGGUGUAGCAGUGAAAUGCGGAGAUAUCGAGAGGAACACUCGUGGCGAAGGCGGGUUCCUGGACAUUAACUGACGCUGAGGCACGAAGGCCAGGGGAGCGAAAGGGAUUAGAUACCCCUGUAGUC
rnacentral:rRNA from 1 species